GCCAGACUCCUACGGGAGGCAGCAGUGGGGGAUAUUGCACAAUGGGGGAAACCCUGAUGCAGCGACGCCGCGUGGGCGAAGAAGUAUUUCGGUAUGUAAAGCCCUCUCAGCAGGGAAGAAGAAAUGACGGUACCUGAGUAAGAAGCACCGGCUAAAUACGUGCCAGCAGCCGCGGUAAUACGUAGGGGGCAAGCGUUAUCCGGAUUUACUGGGUGUAAAGGGGGCGCAGACGGCGAUGCAAGCCAGGAGUGAAAGCCCGGGGCCCAACCCCGGGACUGCUCUUGGAACUGCGUGGCUGGAGUGCAGGAGGGGCAGGCGGAAUUCCUGGUGUAGCGGUGAAAUGCGUAGAUAUCAGGAGGAACACCGGUGGCGAAGGCGGCCUGCUGGACUGCAACUGACGUUGAGGCCCGAAAGCGUGGGGAGCAAACAGGAUUAGAUACCCCCGUAA
rnacentral:rRNA from 1 species